rnacentral:rRNA from 1 species
ACAGCAGUAGCCGCGGUAAAACAGAGGGUGCGAGCGUUAAUCGGAUUUACUGGGCGUAAAGCGUGCGUAGGCGGCUUUUUAAGUCGGAUGUGAAAUCCCUGAGCUUAACUUAGGAAUUGCAUUCGAUACUGGGAAGCUAGAGUAUGGGAGAGGAUGGUAGAAUUCCAGGUGUAGCGGUGAAAUGCGUAGAGAUCUGGAGGAAUACCGAUGGCGAAGGCAGCCAUCUGGCCUAAUACUGACGCUGAGGUACGAAAGCAUGGGGAGCAAACAGGAUUAGAUACCCGUGUAGUCCCUGUCUCUUAUAC